ACAGGAUUAGAUACCCUGGUAGUCCUAGCCCUAAACGAUGAUCGCUUGGUGUGGCGGGUAUCCAACCCUGCCGUGCCGAAGCUAACGCGUUAAGCGAUCCGCCUGGGGAGUACGGUCGCAGGGCUGAAACUCAAAGGAAUUGACGGGGGCCCGCACAAGCGGUGGAGCAUGUGGUUUAAUUCGACGCAACGCGAAGAACCUUACCUGGGCUCGAAAUGUAGUGGAAUCCGGUGGAAACAUCGGCGCCUAGCAAUAGGCCGCUAUAUAGGUGCUGCAUGGCUGUCGUCAGCUCGUGUCGUGAGAUGUUGGGUUAAGUCCCGCAACGAGCGCAACCCUUAUCUCCAGUUGCCAUCAUUCAGUUGGGCACUCUGGCGAAACCGCCUCGGAUAACGGGGAGGAAGGUGGGGAUGACGUCAAGUCCUCAUGGCCUUUAUGUCCAGGGCUACACACGUGCUACAAUGGCCGGUAUAAACCGCUGCAAACCCGCGAGGGGGAGCUAAUCGGAAAAAGCCGGCCUCAGUUCGGAUCGCAGUCUGCAACUCGACUGCGUGAAGCUGGAAUCGCUAGUAAUCGCAGAUCAGAAUGCUGCGGUGAAUACGUUCCCGGGCCUUGUACACACCGCCCGUCAAAUCACGAAAGUGGGUUGCACUAGAAGCCGGUGCGCUAACCGCAAGGGAGCAGCCGUCCAAGGUGUGGUUCAUGAUUGGGGUUAAGUCGUAACAAGGUAACCGUA
rnacentral:rRNA from 1 species